CCUACGGGAGGCAGCAGUGAGGAAUAUUGGUCAAUGGCCGAGAGGCUGAACCAGCCAAGUCGCGUGAGGGAAGACGGCUCUACGGGUUGUAAACCUCUUUUGUCGGGGAGCAAAGCGAACCACGUGUGGUUCAUUGCGCGUACCCUACGAAAAAGCAUCGGCUAACUCCGUGCCAGCAGCCGCGGUAAUACGGAGGAUGCGAGCGUUAUCCGGAUUUAUUGGGUUUAAAGGGUGCGCAGGCGGAGGUGCAAGUCAGCGGUCAAAUUGCGGGGCGCAACCCCGUACUGCCGUUGAAACUGCAUCCCUUGAGUGCGCGAGAAGUAUGCGGAAUGCGUGGUGUAGCGGUGAAAUGCAUAGAUAUCACGCAGAACUCCGAUUGCGAAGGCAGCAUACCGGAGCGCAACUGACGCUCAUGCACGAGAGCGUGGGUAUCGAACAGGAUUAGAUACCCUGGUAGUC
rnacentral:rRNA from 1 species